GAUGAACGCUGGCGGCGUGCCUAAUACAUGCAAGUCGAGCGAACGGACGAGAAGCUUGCUUCUCUGAUGUUAGCGGCGGACGGGUGAGUAACACGUGGAUAACCUACCUAUAAGACUGGGAUAACUUCGGGAAACCGGAGCUAAUACCGGAUAAUAUUUUGAACCGCAUGGUUCAAAAGUGAAAGACGGUCUUGCUGUCACUUUUAGAUGGAUCCGCGCUGCAUUAGCUAGUUGGUAAGGUAACGGCUUACCAAGGCAACGAUGCAUAGCCGACCUGAGAGGGUGAUCGGCCACACUGGAGCUGAGACACGGUCCAGACUCCUACGGGAGGCAGCAGUAGGGAAUCUUCCGCAAUGGGCGAAAGCCUGACGGAGCAACGCCGCGUGAGUGAUGAAGGUCUUCGGAUCGUAAAACUCUGUUAUUAGGGAAGAACAUAUGUGUAAGUAACUGUGCACAUCUUGACGGUACCUAAUCAGAAAGCCACGGCUAACUACGUG
rnacentral:rRNA from 1 species